CAAGAAUACUAAUCUCGGGCCACAGGCAGAUGAGAGGUUGCCUGGAUUCCAGCCUGCCGUGGUUUGGGCUACAUGUUUUGCAAAGUGGAUUUAUACGGAAAAAGAUGACAGUAUGGUUUUGUUUAUAAUGUUGUGCCACCCUUAUAUCCAACUCCACCAUCGCUGGGAGGGCAGAGCUGAAAAGACGGAACGCACGUAUUUCCUGGGGUGGGGAGAGAGGCAGCCCUUCACUGUCUCCCCAACGGAUCCUUACACAAGUUCCCCAGUUCUCUUGAAUCAAUGCCGAGACCUGUGGAGCAGUGAGAGCACUGGCGGGACUGGUCCUCACUGCAUGGUUGGGUGCAGCGGUCCUCUGGGCAGGAAGGCCUGGGCGGGUGUGCAGCAGGCCGGCCAAGUCAGAACAUCUUUCUGUACAUGUGGAUUGUCUGAUCCCAAGAAAAUCUGGAAAUUUAUUGAAAAUUUCAAGCAGGAAAAUCAACUCAAUGUUCUGCUCUGGUCUAGGUGCAGUCCCAGAGCCCCUUACUGAGGAUUCGGUUGCCCAGACAACCCCUUGUCAUCGGAGAUCUCUGCACAGCUCUGUGGCUGAGCUUUCUGCACAAGUGGCAUUUUCCUGGAAGGGGUCUGACGCAAAGGGACAGCUGAGCAGAAUUACUGUCGCCACUUGGAUGUGGGACUGGUGGUGGCCGCGGAGGUGUGGAGUUUGGAAAUGGGUCUUUCGGCCCUGGUUGCCUUUCUUUGGAAAUGAGAACUGUAGUCUCUGGAUCAAUAAUGCAGGGUGUGUGGUCAAUAAGACGGAGCUCACUGAAGACGGGCUUGAAAAACACUUUGCUACCCGUAUCCUGGGAGAGUAUGAGCAGUUUUCUUGUUUGUAGUUAGCAAAAUAAACAGAGACCUAGAUGAUACCA
rnacentral:lncRNA from 1 species